GAGAAGUGCACAUCGGACUGAAGGAGAACAAGUUGAGCACAAGAGUUGCACAAAGAAAUAGUCGAUAAAACUGUUAAAAGAGAUAAAUCUCAGUUUAUAUCCACUUGUGAAUGUGUGAGUACAUGGUUUAAUUCGACGAUCACAAAAGAGUUGCCUUAUUGCACGUGAGAGAUCGCCAGUGGGGGAGGGGAAAUUCGGACCACGUUAAUGGAGAUCCAGCAGGGGAGAGCAACGAAAUGUGAGAUCGAGUGUAAAUGACCAUGUGAGCUUUUGCUGUGUGCUUCAGGGAAUCAGUCGGAGAGGACACAUAUAGGCCACUGCUGUUGUUUUGUACGCCAUUUAUACGUUUUUGUAACCUUGUUUGCACCGGGGUAAAACUGAAGGGCCUGUGAUUAUUGGGUUUUGGUAACAGAGGCUGAUCCUGUGAAACCUAUUCAGGAAAGUUGAGUUAAUACCACUGACGUUAAUUAGGUGGUUGUCUCUGUAAAUUUAUUUAUUUUUAUUUUCUUUACAUUGUCUUAGAUGGCCCUGAAUUAAACCUUAAUGCUUAAGGCUCAGUCAAGAAUAAAAGAACCCUUAUUUGUUAGAUGUUCUGGCGGUGUUUGUGUUUUUUUUUUUUUUAUUUAGUACAAAUACACUUGCCCGGCCACAUAUAUGUGUGUGUGUAUGAUAAUAAUUUGUAUUUAUCAUUUAAUCUCCUUCAUUUUAAACUCUUCAUAAGUUACUUCAACACUUCAUGGAAAAUAUUGUGGCCUUUUUAAAGCAAAAUAUAACUUUCGGUUAUAUUAGACACCUGGACUAAUUUAAAGCAUGUAAAGCAUUUAAAUUGCACAUUCUGGGAGACAACAACAACUGAAUAGGGAGUAAAUAAUUUUUUAUAUUCCUAUGAAAUAUUAUAUAUUUAAUAACUUGAUGCUAUUAAAUUCAUGGAAUCUGUCUAAAAAUAAUGGCCCUGAGAACUACUGCCUGCACUAGGUUUGUCUUUUCAUGAUGACAUCAUGCCUUUUAAGAACAAUGUGUGUGUUAUUACCUUGGAGGACAGCUGGUGUAAGCAUCUAUUUUUAGUGUUUUCUCUUUGGAGUGUGGCUACAGUGUUAUACUUGCCAUUCAGUCUGUAAAUGGAUCCAGUUGACUGAGCAGCUGCGGUUUCUGAGAAAGGGCUUUUAAGUUUUCACAAGUUCAAGUAUCAGACUUUAGAUCAGGAUCGAAUUAAUUAAAGCUCCAUAACUGUAAGUGCUUGCUAAUGACCACAGCUUUACCAACCAAAUAUUUAAUAUUUUAGCAUUUAGGAGUUAAGUGAAAUUUUAUGAUCCCAAUACAGUCACCAUUAAGCUGCACUGAUCAAAGUGAUCCUUCUCAGUGAAAAGUAUCUGUCGAUUUAUCCUUUCUCACAGUUGUGCAUAGUAUUGUGCAAUGCAGUCUACUACAUUGUUUUUCACCCACAAUCAUCUCAGACUGACUGAGUGGGUCAGGGGUGACAUAAGCUGUAACAUUAGCUGAUAUUAGCAGUAGCAGUAGGUAUGGUGUACAUUUUAGGACAUCCCCAGACCAGCGUCAUAAAAUGAAAAGGUGUCAUGGCUUUUUGCCCCUGGACAAAACAGCAUUGUGGGUAGGCGUUACACAAAAAGUCAUCAGGCGAAACUGACUCAUGUGGCAUUCGCUCAUCCACUUUUGACUUCUUUUUUGGUAAAGUUGUGUGAUGAAAUCCUAGGUCAUGGUUGUGGUUUUUUGGGCUUAUUUUAGAAAACAUGGUUGCUCAGUCUCAGUUACGCAUGUAACCCUCGUUCCUUGAUGGAGGGAAUGGCGAUUUUAUGUUGUCAUGACAGCCUGUGGUCUUGCUUGGAGCCCUUAUUAGCUCUGAUUAAGAGAAAACGCCAAUGAAAUUUGGCAAGUGGUUAACUAAUCCUGAGCAACUCCCUGUCACACGAGUAUAAAUAGGCAUCAGGUGUAACCACUUGUCAUAUUUUGCUGAGUUUAUGGCCAUCCCUUGUCCUGCCAGCGUUUAAGGUUGUGGUAAGGGGACAUAACGUUUCUGUUCCCUCUAUCAGGGGACAAGGGUUACAUACGUGACUGAGACGUUCCUUGUCUGUCAGUCACUACGAGUUAUGUUGUGAUGACAGACUGGAGUACAAAUGGAAAAUGCCACAACCUGAACCCCAUCACAACCAAUAGCACUACAAAUGCUGACAGGCCAUAGCAUGUCAGGCAAGGUCGUAACAUUCCCAAUGCCCCAGAGCAAAUUUGCGGACCUUGGCGCCCGCAGGGACCAAUGUUUGACGAAACAAAGGGGUAAGCGAACCUUCUAGAGAAGGAUGCUACAGAGCAUCCUACCUGAAGGGAGGUGAUAUUUGGAGACACCCAUGGACUGACUCAGACGGGGGAGUGCAACAUGUGAAAUAGGUGUCUGCCUCAGGUCCUGCCCAAGGAUAGGGGGAAGGACUGACAGCUGAGACAGACAGAAGAUCCGCCAAGGGAAGACAUGAGUUCACCCUUAGGGGAAUCUUACAGUGGAAUACACAUUUGGUAUCACCCACAGGGAAUCAGCCAUAUGGCAACCUAGCCCAGUGUAAGGGCUGACCGGGAGCCCGACACCAACACUGGGCCUGACAUCAGACUGCUCUACCUAGUUAUGCUGAUGAUACUCAGCUCUAUAUUUCAGCGCAGCCUGGUGAUACACACCAAAUUGAGAAUCUAACAGAAUGCAUAGUCGAUGUAAAUACCUGGAGGAUGAGUAACUUCUAAUGGCUCUAAACUGGUUCAGGUCAUAUUUAGAGGGGAGGGGUUAUUAUGUGAGUAUAGGAGAGCAUAAGUCUAAGUGGACGUCCAUGAC